rnacentral:rRNA from 1 species
AGCGAACGCUGGCGGCAGGCCUAAUACAUGCAAGUCGAACGGUCUCUUCGGAGGCAGUGGCGGACGGGUGAGUAACGCGUGGGAAUAUGCCCUUUGGUACGGAACAACUGAGGGAAACUUCAGCUAAUACCGUAUGUGCCCUUCGGGGGAAAGAUUUAUCGCCAUUGGAGUAGCCCGCGUUGGAUUAGGUAGUUGGUGGGGUAAAGGCCUACCAAGCCUACGAUCCAUAGCUGGUCUGAGAGGAUGAUCAGGCCACACUGGGACUCGAGACACGGCCCAGACUCCUACGGGAGGCAGCAGUAGGGAAUCUUGCGCAAUGGGCGAAAGCCUGACGCAGCCAUGCCGCGUGGAGGACGAAGCCCUUCGGGGUGUAAACUCCUUUUCUCAGGGAAAAAGGAUGAUGGUACCUGAGGAAUAAGCCCCGGCUAACUACGUG